CCUACGGGUGGCUGCAGUGGGGAAUAUUGCACAAUGGGCGCAAGCCUGAUGCAGCCAUGCCGCGUGUGUGAAGAAGGCCUUCGGGUUGUAAAGCACUUUCAGCGGGGAGGAAGGCGUUAAGGUUAAUAACCUUGGCGAUUGACGUUACCCGCAGAAGAAGCACCGGCUAACUCCGUGCCAGCAGCCGCGGUAAUACGGAGGGUGCAAGCGUUAAUCGGAAUUACUGGGCGUAAAGCGCACGCAGGCGGUCUGUCAAGUCGGAUGUGAAAUCCCCGGGCUCAACCUGGGAACUGCAUUCGAAACUGGCAGGCUAGAGUCUUGUAGAGGGGGGUAGAAUUCCAGGUGGAGCGGUGAAAUGCGUAGAGAUCUGGAGGAAUACCGGGGGCGAAGGCGGCCCCCUGGACAAAGACUGACGCUCAGGUGCGAAAGCGUGGGGAGCAAACAGGAUUAGAUACCCGAGUAGUC
rnacentral:rRNA from 1 species